rnacentral:misc_RNA from 1 species
UUGAGUUGAGUUGAGUUAAGUAUUCAUUCAAUUAUAGGCUGUAGCAGGGGUGGCCACUGGGUCAGAACUGGCAGUUCUAGUUGAAGGUUCAGGGAGAGCUCCCCUUUUUUAUUUUGGAAAAAGAAGAAAAAAAAUCCAGUUUUGGUUUCAGUUACAAACCAGACGGUGGCUGGGUAUAGGUUGUAGCAUUUAUUUUGUGGAUUUUCUCAUAAACAUGCAAGUGCUAACAAUUCGAUAUUGGGUUUCCCCUACUCCUGGGUAUUAUAUAUUAGUGAUGAAGAGUUUGACAUUACCCAAG